rnacentral:tRNA from 1 species
GGCACUGUGGCUGAGCGGACAAAGCGACACAUUAGAGAGGUGUUCAGGCGGGUUCGACUCCCGCCAGUGCUG